rnacentral:rRNA from 1 species
AACGAACGCUGGCGGCAGGCUUAACACAUGCAAGUCGAGCGCCCCGCAAGGGGAGCGGCAGACGGGUGAGUAACGCGUGGGAAUCUACCCAUCUCUACGGAAUAACCCAGGGAAACUUGGACUAAUACCGUAUACGCCCUUCGGGGGAAAGAUUUAUCGGAGAUGGAUGAGCCCGCGUUGGAUUAGCUAGUUGGUGGGGUAAUGGCCUACCAAGGCGACGAUCCAUAGCUGGUCUGAGAGGAUGAUCAGCCACACUGGGACUGAGACACGGCCCAGACUCCUACGGGAGGCAGCAGUGGGGAAUAUUGGACAAUGGGCGAAAGCCUGAUCCAGCCAUGCCGCGUGAGUGAUGAAGGCCCUAGGGUUGUAAAGCUCUUUCAACGGUGAAGAUAAUGACUUAAC